rnacentral:tRNA from 1 species
GCCAAAAUUGCUCAGUUGGGAGAGCGUUAGACUGAAGAUCUAAAGGUCCCUGGUUCGAUCCCGGGUUUCACCAGGUU